rnacentral:rRNA from 1 species
AGAAUCAACGCUGGCGGCGUGCCUAACACAUGCAAGUCGAACGCGAAAGGGGAGCAAUCCCUGAUUAGAGUGGCAAACGGGUGAGUAACACGUGGGUGACCUGCCUUCGAGUGGGGGAUAACCUUCCGAAAGGAGGGCUAAUACCGCAUGACAUACCGUGUUUGGAUACACGGAUAUCAAAGCCGGGGAUCGCAAGACCUGGCGCUUGGAGAGGGGCCCGCGUCCGAUUAGCUAGUUGGUGGGUAACGGCUCACCAAGGCUCCGAUC